rnacentral:rRNA from 1 species
UGAGAGGGCGACCGGCCACACUGGAACUGAGACACGGUCCAGACUCCUACGGGAGGCAGCAGUGGGGAAUCUUCCGCAAUGGGCGCAAGCCUGACGGAGCAACGCCGCGUGAGCGAAGAAGGCCUUCGGGUUGUAAAGCUCUGUCCCGGGGGAAGAACAAAUGACGGUACCCCGGGAGGAAGCCCCGGCUAACUACGUGCCAGCAGCCGCGGUAAAACGUAGGGGGCGAGCGUUGUCCGGAAUUACUGGGCGUAAAGGGCGUGUAGGCGGUUGCGCAAGUCAGUAGUGAAACCCGCCGGCUUAACCGGCGGCUGGCUACUGAAACUGCGCGACUUGAGUGCAGUAGAGGGGAGUGGAAUUCCCAGUGUAGCGGUGAAAUGCGUAGAUAUUGGGAGGAACACCAGUGGCGAAAGCGGCUCCCUGGCCUGUAACUGACGCUGAGGCGCGAAAGCGUGGGUAGCAAACAGGAUUAGAUACCCUGGUAGUCCACGCCGUAAACGAUGGGUGCUAGGUGUUGCGGGUAUCGACCCCCGCAGUGCCGCAGUUAACGCAAUAAGCACCCCGCCUGGGGAGUACGGCCGCAAGGCUGAAACUCAAAGGAAUUGACGGGGGCCCGCACAAGCGGUGGAGCAUGUGGUUUAAUUCGACGCAACGCGAAGAACCUUACCAGGUCUUGACAUCCCCUGCCAGUCGUAGAAAUACGACCUUCUCCUUUGUGGAGACAGGGAGACAGGUGGUGCAUGGUUGUCGUCAGCUCGUGUCGUGAGAUGUUGGGUUAAGUCCCGCAACGAGCGCAACCCCUACCUUUAGUUGCCAGCAAGUAAGGUUGGGCACUCUAAAGGGACUGCCGUUGACAAAACGGAGGAAGG